ACUUAUUUGGGCAUCGUGAAGCUCCAGGGAGCCACUAGGGCGGCGCUAAAGAGCCGCAGGUUGCAGACCCCCGCAUGGAUGAUGGACGAUGGAGCCCACAUACCACAGUUUGAGAAUCCCUGAUCCAAACCAUGGCCAUGACAAUACGACAGGAACGGUGUGCUGACUGCCAAGGCCGAACACCGCCGUGACGCAGACAGAGCAGAGACAAGGCGAUAUCACCAGCGUCAACACAUUUGCAUUUUUGUAUAAUCAUAUAUUGUGUCCAACCUGAGUUGUCGAGAUUACCCCUUUCCCUCAGCGACAGCUUCAGUGAUGUAACAGGGACCUCCCAAAUAGAGGAAGCACGCGGGCUGGACUUUUAGAACGUAGUUUGGAUCUGUAACUAGAAUACAGCCCAAAGCACGUGUCUCCUCAUAUGAGCCAAAUUGAACUCUGUCUCUGCAUGAUUCCUUGCUUCUCGUCUGUUUAAUAGUUGUCAUCAGUGUUUGAACCUGACACGCCUGGCGCAUUUCUUACUUAAAACAUGAAUAACAAAUCAAUUGUAACCACCAGUUGAUUCAAUGUUAUUAAAACAUUAC